UCUUAGGAAUGAGCAAAUAAAGUAGUUUCUUGAAAUGGAAUUUACUUCAGGUGAAGAUACUAUGAA
rnacentral:pre_miRNA from 5 species